rnacentral:rRNA from 1 species
GUGCCAGCAGCCGCGGUAAUACGUAGGUGGCAAGCGUUGUCCGGAAUUAUUGGGCGUAAAGCGCGCGCAGGCGGAUCAGUCAGUCUGUCUUAAAAGUUCGGGGCUUAACCCCGUGAUGGGAUGGAAACUGCUGAUCUAGAGUAUCGGAGAGGAAAGUGGAAUUCCUAGUGUAGCGGUGAAAUGCGUAGAUAUUAGGAAGAACACCAGUGGCGAAGGCGACUUUCUGGACGAAAACUGACGCUGAGGCGCGAAAGCCAGGGGAGCGAACGGGAUUAGAUACCCCGGUAGUCCUGGCCGUAAACGAUGGGUACUAGGUGUAGGAGGUAUCGACCCCUUCUGUGCCGGAGUUGACGCAAUAAGUACCCCGCCUGGGGAGUACGACCGCAAGGUUGAAACUCAAAUAAAUUGGCGG